GAUGAACGCUGGCGGCGUGCUUAACACAUGCAAGUCGAACGAUGAACCGGGUGCUUGCACUCGGGGAUUAGUGGCGAACGGGUGAGUAACACGUGAGCAACCUGCCCCUGACUAUGGGAUAAGCGCUGGAAACGGCGUCUAAUACUGGAUAUGUCCCGUCACCGCAUGGUGUGCGGGUGGAAAGAUUUUUCGGUUGGGGAUGGGCUCGCGGCCUAUCAGCUUGUUGGUGAGGGAAUGGCUCACCAAGGCGUCGACGGGUAGCCGGUCUGAGAGGGGUAACCGGCCGAACUGGGACUGAGAAACGGCAGAGACUCCUACGGGAGGCAGCGGUGGGGAAUAAUGCACAGUGGGGGGAAGCGUGAUGCAGCAACGCCGCGUGAGGGAUGACGGCCUUCGGGUUGUACACCUCUGUUAGCAGGGAAGAGGCGAGAGUGACGGUACCUGCAGAAAAAGCACCGGCUAACUACGUGCCAGCAGCCGCCGUAA
rnacentral:rRNA from 1 species